rnacentral:rRNA from 1 species
GACGAACGCUGGCGGCGUGCUUAACACAUGCAAGUCGAACGAUGAAGCUGGAGCUUGCUCCGGUGGAUUAGUGGCGAACGGGUGAGUAACACGUGAGCAAUCUGCCCUUCACUCUGGGAUAACUGCGGGAAACUGUAGCUAAUACCGGAUACGAGGCUUGGAGGCAUCUCCAGGUCUGGAAAGAAUUUCGGUGAAGGAUGAGCUCGCGGCCUAUCAGCUUGUUGGUGAGGUAAUGGCUCACCAAGGCGACGACGGGUAGCCGGCCUGAGAGGGUGACCGGCCACACUGGGACUGAGACACGGCCCAGCCUCCUACGGGAGGCAGCAGUGGGGAAUAUUGCACAAUGGGCGAAAGCCUGAUGCAGAAACGCCGCGUGAGAGAUGAAGGCCUUCGGGUUGUAAACCUCUUUUAGCAGGGAAGAAGCGAAAGUGACGGUACCUGCAGAAAAAGCACCGGCUAACUACGUGCCAGCCGCCGCCGUAA